rnacentral:rRNA from 1 species
AAACGUAGGAGGCAAGCGUUAUCCGGAUUCAUUGGGCGUAAAGGGCAAGUAGGCGGUUGGAAAAGUUAGGUGUGACAUCUCUCGGCUUAACUGAGAGGGAGCGCUUAAAACUAUUCAACUAGGGGGCAGAAGAGGGGGGUAGAACUCCAAAUGUAGCGGUGGAAUGCUCAGAUAUUUGGAAGAAUACCAGUGGCGAAGGCGGCCCCCUGGUCUGACCCUGACGCUGAGAGGCGAAAGCUAGGGUAGCGAACGGGCUUAGAUACCCCGGUAGUCCUAGCUGUAAACGUUGGAUACUAGGUAAUGGUCUCUAACAUGGGAUCAGUGCCGAAGCAAACGCGUUAAGUAUCCCGCCUGGGGACUACGAUCGCAAGAUUAAA